rnacentral:rRNA from 1 species
UACGGAGGGGGCUAGCGUUGUUCGGAAUUACUGGGCGUAAAGCGUGCGCAGGCGGCUAUGCAAGACAGAUGUGAAAUCCCCGGGCUCAACCUGGGAACUGCAUUUGUGACUGCAUGGCUAGAGUACGGUAGAGGGGGAUGGAAUUCCGCGUGUAGCAGUGAAAUGCGUAGAUAUGCGGAGGAACACCGAUGGCGAAGGCAACCCCCUGGUUGGAUACUGACGCUGAGACGCGAAAGCGUGGGGAGCAAACAGG